rnacentral:rRNA from 1 species
GACGAACGCUGGCGGCGUGCUUAACACAUGCAAGUCGAACGAAGUGGCGAACGGGUGAGUAACGCGUAAUCAACUUGCCCUUCAGAGGGGGACAACAGUUGGAAACGACUGCUAAUACCGCAUACUGAAGGAGGGGAUUGCGUGUGAUGAGCUAGUUGGAGGGGUAACGGCCCACCAAGGCGAUGAUCGGUAGCCGGUCUGGGAGGAUUGACGGCCACAAUGGGACUGAGACACGGCCCAAACUCCUACGGGAGGCAGCCGUGGGGAAUCUUCCGCAAUUGACGAAAGUCUGACGGAGCAACGCCGCGUGAGUGAUGACGGCCUUCGGGUUGUAAAGCUCUGUUAAUCGGGACGCGGUACCGGAAUAGAAAGCCACGGCUAACUACGUGCCAGCAGCCGCGGUAAUUC